rnacentral:rRNA from 1 species
GACGAACGCUGGCGGCGUGCUUAACACAUGCAAGUCGAACGGAAAGGCCCCAGCUUGCUGGGGUACUCGAGUGGCGAACGGGUGAGUAACACGUGGGUGAUCUGCCCAGCACUCUGGGAUAAGCCUGGGAAACUGGGUCUAAUACCGGAUAGGACCGUGCUUUAGUGUGUGCGGUGGAAAGUUUUUCGGUGCAGGAUGAGCCCGCGGCCUAUCAGCUUGUUGGUGGGGUAAUGGCCUACCAAGGCGGCGACGGGUAGCCGGCCUGAGAGGGUGUACGGCCACAUUGGGACUGAGACACGGCCCAGACUCCUACGGGAGGCAGCAGUGGGGAAUAUUGCACAAUGGGCGCAAGCCUGAUGCAGCGACGCCGCGUGGGGGAUGACGGCCUUCGGGUUGUAAACCCCUUUCGGCAGGGACGAAGCUUUUGUGACGGUACCUGCAUAAGAAGCACCGGCUAACUACGUG